rnacentral:misc_RNA from 1 species
GAUGAAGAACGCAGCGAAAUGCGAUACUUGGUGUGAAUUGCAGAAUCCCGUGAACCAUCGAGUCUUUGAACGCAAGUUGCGCCUCAAGCCAUUAGGUUGAGGGCACGUCUGCCUGGGCGUCACAUAUCGUUGCCUGAUGCCAGUUUCCUCGUGAUGGGUGACUGUGCAGGGCGAAUGAUGGCUUCCCGUGAGCAUUGUUGCCUCAUGAUUGGUUGAAAAUUGAGUCCUUGGUAGGGAGCGCCGUGAUAGAUGGUGGUUGAGUGACGAACGAGACCCAAUCAUGUGAGACCCCUACCGAAUUUGGCCUUCAUGACCCACAUGCGUCUUUGGAACGCUCAUGACGAGACCUCAGGUCAGGCGGGGCUACCCGCUGAGUUUAAGCAUAUCAAUAAGCGGAGGA